rnacentral:rRNA from 1 species
UACGUAGGGAGCGAGCGUUGUCCGGAUUCAUUGGGCGUAAAGAGCUCGUAGGCGGCUUGGUAAGUCGGAUGUGAAACCUCCAGGCUCAACCUGGAGUCGCCAUCCGAUACUGCCAUGGCUAGAGUCCGGUAGGGGCCCACGGAAUUCCUGGUGUAGCGGUGAAAUGCGCAGAUAUCAGGAGGAACACCGGUGGCGAAGGCGGGUCUCUGGGCCGAUACUGACACUGAGGAGCGAAAGCGUGGGGAGCGAACAGG